rnacentral:sRNA from 1 species
GCUGGGUGUGGUGGUACACAUCUGUAAUUCCAGUGACUUGGGAGGCUGAGGCAGGAGAAUUGUGAGUUCAAAGCCAGCCUCAGCAACUUAGUGAGAGCCUGUCUCUA